UGGGAAGUUGAUGUGGACUCAGUGA
rnacentral:piRNA from 1 species